GCCCGGCUAGCUCAAUCGGUAGAGCGUGAGACUCUUAAUCUCAAGGUUGUGGGGUUCGACCCCCACGUCGGGCU
rfam:Sordaria macrospora k-hell, WGS project CABT02000000 data, contig: 2.9